CUCCACACGCGACAAUAGAACUCCGGAACUCCGAUAAUUUGAGCUGCGACUGUGCAACCAACUUCAAAACUCAUGCCCAGAUGUCACUAGUGUCACCCUUGUUGUUUUUACAAUUUACAUCGUCAAACGAGGCAAAAUGGGUGAAACAAUUGGAUGCUAAUUAAUACUUAUAUUCCUGUGAUUUCAUAUACCAAAUUGAACUUCGUAUCAUAUAUGCAUACUGUCAGUCAUUCCAAAAAGUUGACUUAGCGCUCAGUCAUUUUCCCUCCAAUAGACCCAUCAUGUUGUCAAAAGCCUAAAACUCAUAUGUGAAGCUCACAUAUGGUGGAAUACAAAUGUGUGGAGACAAGGUAUUUCCCCAUUACUGCUACCACCCCAACCACACCACGUCAAAUGCCUUACUAAAUUCAGCACCAUUCACCCAUAUGAUAAAGGAAAUUUACCUCAACCUAAGGAGUAAGGCUGUUGGUUGCUGUGAUUUCCAUUUAAUUGCGGUUUUUUAUCAUGAAAAUCUUCAGUGUGCUUCUUAGUAUAGAGCAUGUAAUAGAUCCUUAAGCCAAUGCUGACCUUUGUCCAUGAAGGAAGAGGGACAUCCAGCAACGUUCUGCUCCAUCCUUAUCUUCCUGACGUACACUCAUCUAGCUUCACUGCUUUUGCUGCUACAACUUCACCGACGAGUGUCUUACUUCACCGACGAGUUGGAACACUUCAGUGGUCGCUACCCUUUGCUGAUACACACCUACAGUUACUCACCACGGGAUUAUGCCCAGGUAAUGCAGAAGAGACGUCGAGAAGAUGGACACCAAAACAUCGCCGAUAUCUCCAAAUUGUCAGCGUGGAUCAUCAUUUGUUGUUGGUAAUAUGUUUGUGUUAGUGUUAGUUAACCCGUUGUCUGCCACGCCUUUGUCCUCUCCUAGCUCCUUAGCACGGGCUGCGUGCGCUGUUCG
rnacentral:lncRNA from 1 species